rnacentral:rRNA from 1 species
GACAGAGGAGCCAAGCGUUGUCCGGAUUUAUUGGGCGUAAAGAGCUCGUAGGCGGCUCGUCGCGUCGACCGUGAAAACCCGCGGCUUAACUGCGGGCUUGCGGUUGAUACGGGCGGGCUAGAGUUCGGUAGGGGAGACUGGAAUUCCUGGUGUAGCGGUGAAAUGCGCAGAUAUCAGGAGGAACACCGGUGGCGAAGGCGGGUCUCUGGGCCGAUACUGACGCUGAGGAGCGAAAGCGUGGGGAGCGAACAGG